rnacentral:rRNA from 1 species
GACAGAGGGUGCGAACGUUGUUCGGAAUUACUGGGCGUAAAGCGCAUGUAGGCGGCAGCGCAAGUCGGGCGUGAAAUCCCACGGCUCAACCGUGGAAGUGCACUCGAAACUGCGCAGCUAGAGUCCUGGAGAGGAAGGUGGAAUGCUUGGUGUAGAGGUGAAAUUCGUAGAUAUCAAGCGGAACACCGAUGGCGAAGGCAGCCCCCUGGGUUAACACUGACGCUCAGGCACGAAAGCGUGGGGAGCAAACAGG